rnacentral:tRNA from 1 species
AGAAAUAUGUCUGAACUAAAAAGAGCUGCUAACUCUUUUAAAGCGGUUUAAUUCCGUUAUAUUUCUA